GUGAGGAAUAUUGGUCAAUGGUCGCAAGACUGAACCAGCCAUGCCGCGUGCAGGAUGAAGCAUCUAUGGUGUGUAAACUGCUUUUGUACGGGAAGAAACACCUCUUCGUGAAGAGGCUUGACGGUACCGUAAGAAUAAGGAUCGGCUAACUCCGUGCCAGCAGCCGCGGUAAUACGGAGGAUCCAAGCGUUAUCCGGAAUCAUUGGGUUUAAAGGGUCCGUAGGCGGUUUUGUAAGUCAGUGGUGAAAUCCGGCAGCUUAACUGUCGAACUGCCAUUGAUACUGCAGGACUUGAAUUACUGUGAAGUAACUAGAAUAUGUAGUGUAGCGGUGAAAUGCUUAGAUAUUACAUGGAAUACCAAUUGCGAAGGCAGGUUACUAACAGUGGAUUGACGCUGAUGGACGAAAGCGUGGGGAGCGAACAGGAUUAGAUACCCCUGUAGUCC
rnacentral:rRNA from 1 species